AGUGAACGCUGGCGGUAGGCCUAACACAUGCAAGUCGAACGGCAGCACAGUAAGAGCUUGCUCUUACGGGUGGCGAGUGGCGGACGGGUGAGGAAUACAUCGGAAUCUACUUUUUCGUGGGGGAUAACGUAGGGAAACUUACGCUAAUACCGCAUCCGACUUACGGGGGAAAGCAGGGGAUCUUCGGACCUUGCGCGAUUGAUUGAUCCGAUGUCGGAUUAGCUAGUUGGCGGGGUAAAGGCCCACCAAGGCGACGAUCCGUAGCUGGUCUGAGAGGAUGAUCAGCCACACUGGAACUGAGACACGGUCCAGACUCCUACGGGAGGCAGCAGUGGGGAAUAUUGGACAAUGGGCGCAAGCCUGAUCCAGCCAUACCGCGUGGGUGAAGAAGGCCUUCGGGUUGUAAAGCCCUUUUGUUGGGAAAGAAAAGCAGCAGGUUAAUACCCCGCUGUUCUGACGGUACCCAAAGAAUAAGCACCGGCUAACUUCGUG
rnacentral:rRNA from 1 species